AUGAGUAUCCAUUGUGCUGCUGCCUUUUUAAAAUUUAAUUUUAUUAUUUAUUUAUUUAUUUAUUUUACAGGGCUACCCUGUCCAGCAAGAAGGCAGCCUAGUCACUGUCUACCUGCAGAGGCUUUGCUGAGCUGCUUUGGUCUCCACCCUGCUGUCGGCUCUGCCCUGCUGCUGCCAUGAACAAGUGUGCACCUAUCAAAAAGACUCAUGUGCUUCAGAGGAAUCCUGAACCUUUUCAAAUUCCCCCAGCUUUCAGCUUUUAAUGAUGUUCCUGAACACACAGACCCCCAUGGUGCGCAGGGGAUAUUAAAGUUCAAAGAGACAUAGAAUCAGGUUGAAGAUGGUAAGUGAUCAGACUCCUAGGGGAAUGAGAGCAUUUCCUCAUUUUCGGGCUACAGCAGAAAUGUCUGUAAUCCAGAUAUUUAAAACUCGGCUGGGUGAAGAGGUGGGGGAGGUUUCAUGGAAUAGCCUAGAGUCAGGUCCUGUGGGAUGAGGUGGAUGUGAUCGUGAAGGUCAUCUCUGGCCCCCACGCCUCGGAUUCCAUGAUAGCACAUCUGCUUUUGAUUGCAGUGGGUUCCGAGCCCAGGGCUUAGGGCGCGACGCCAUCUGAAGGAGGAAAUACUAAGCCUGUCUGCAGGUCUGGACGUUCCCACAAUGGGACACCAGCUAAGCCCUGUGGCCGCUGGAGAGACACUGGAGCUCUGUCUGGAGCUCUGCUCCUUCUCAGAGGCCCCACACGUGGAGGCCUUUGCAGCCCACGCAGGCCUGUGUCAGAACCAAUAAAAUGGAGAAGGCAGGACAGGAGUUCUGGGAAAGAGGACCUAACAGGAGCGGGGGUGGCUGUGAAAGGGAGGGUACCGUGGUAAUGAAGGGGAAGGAGGAGAAUCCGAAUCAGACUUGAGCAGUGAUCUUGGAGACACCACUCACUGCCCGAGUGGGACCUCAAGAGGUUCCCACUCCUCAUUUUCAGAGUCUAGGAUUACCCAGAUACUGCAGCAAAGUAUUUAGUGCUGUAUCCAGCACUUAAUCAUUCCAUCACCUCUGGCUAUUGGAAUUUGACAACUUAGCUCUGGCUU
rnacentral:lncRNA from 1 species